GACGAACGCUGGCGGCGUGCCUAAUACAUGCAAGUAGAACGCUGAAGGAGGAGCUUGCUUCUCUGGAUGAGUUGCGAACGGGUGAGUAACGCGUAGGUAACCUGCCUGGUAGCGGGGGAUAACUAUUGGAAACGAUAGCUAAUACCGCAUAAGAGUAGAUGUUGCAUGACAUUUGCUUAAAAGGUGCAAUUGCAUCACUACCAGAUGGACCUGCGUUGUAUUUGCUAGUUGGUGGGGUAACGGCUCACCAAGGCGACGAUACAUAGCCGACCUGAGAGGGUGAUCGGCCACACUGGGACUGAGACACGGCCCAGACUCCUACGGGAGGCAGCAGUAGGGAAUCGUCGGCAAUGGGCGGAAGUCUGACCGAGCAACGCCGCGUGAGGGAAGAAGGUUUUCGGAUCGUAAAGCUCUGUUGUAAGGGAAGAACGAGUGUGAGAGUGGAAAGUUCACACUGUGACGGUAUCUUACCAGAAAGGGACGGCUAACUACGUG
rnacentral:rRNA from 1 species